GACAAAGGGAAGGCCUUCAGGUAUUGUUUUGGCAAGCUAGGAGAACACAUCUGACAGACAAAAAGGUUUCAUCAAAGACACACAGACAGCUCCUGAAGUAAAGGACCUACACAGGACCUUCAUAUCAAGGACAUUGACUGUGUGGAUCUCGAGGUGCAGUUACCCAAAAGUUGCUACCCACAGAAUACCAGGUUUUGAGGGAUCCUGCCAGAGCAGAGAAUCAACAGAUACAUUGAAGAGGAGACUCCGACAUGACCGCCGGCAUCUUGUGUUAUUCACCCCCACCACUUGUAAUACUGAAUGCCUGAAUUGUUGUUUGCUGCUCAGACUUUGUCAACAGAUAUGGUCUUCGACAUGUUACCCUUAGGUGUGGAAACAGAUUGUGACAGUCCAGCAAAAUGAGCCAGACAGAUAGUAACACUGAAAAAGGACAACGUUGUUCCCAUGGCCUCCCACUGCAGAAGACUACAGACGUUCAGUGAAGCACAAACAGCUGUUCCUCUUGUACUUAAUAAUUUAGUCAGCUGGAUUCUAGGUGCCACUAAGGAGCAAACAGUGGAUAAUUUUGUCAACAUUUCAAUGGCAUACAUUAAAAGGGCAGCCUGUAAUUGUUUGCCUUGCCUCCAUCUUCCUUGCCACCAAGGGGUUGUAGACCGAU